rnacentral:rRNA from 1 species
GUGAGGAAUAUUGGACAAUGGGCGCAAGCCUGAUCCAGCCAUGCCGCGUGCAGGAAGACGCAUCUAUGGUGUGUAAACUGCUUUUGUACGGGAAGAAACACUCCCUCGUGAGGGAGCUUGACGGUACCGUAAGAAUAAGGAUCGGCUAACUCCGUGCCAGCAGCCGCGGUAAUACGGAGGAUCCAAGCGUUAUCUGGAAUCAUUGGGUUUUAAGGGUCCGUAGUCGGUUUAAUAAGUCAGUAGUGAAAGCCCAUCGCUCAACGAUGGAACGGCCAUUGAUACUGUUAGACUUGAAUUACAAGGAAGUAACUAGAAUAUGUAGUGUAGCGGUGAAAUGCUUAGAUAUUACAUGGAAUACCAAUUGCGAAGGCAGGUUACUACUUGUGGAUUGACGCUGAUGGACGAAAGCGUGGGGAGCGAACAGGAUUAGAUACCCUAGUAGUCC